CCUACGUGAGACAGCAGUGAGGAAUAUUGGUCAAUGGGCGCGAGCCUGAACCAGCCAAGUAGCGUGAAGGAUGACUGCCCUACGGGUUGUAAACUUCUUUUAUAAAGGAAUAAAGUGAGGCACGUGUGCCUUUUUGUAUGUACUUUAUGAAUAAGGAUCGGCUAACUCCGUGCCAGCAGCCGCGGUAAUACGGAGUGUCCGAGCGUUAUCCGGAUUUAUUGGGUUUAAGGGGAGCGUAGAUGGGGUGUUAAGUCAGUUGUGAAAGUUUGCGGCUCAACCGUAAAAUUGCAAUUGAUACUGGCAGUCUUGAGUACAGUUGAGGUAGGCGGAAUUCGUGGUGUAGCGGUGAAAUGCUUAGAUAUCACGAAGAACUCCGAUUGCGAAGGCAGCUUACUAAACUGCCACUGACAUUGAUGCUCGAAAGUGUGGGUAUCAAACAGGAUUAGAUACCCUAGUAGUC
rnacentral:rRNA from 1 species